UACGGAGGAUGCAAGCGUUAUCCGGAAUGAUUGGGCGUAAAGCGUCCGUAGGUGGCAAUGCGUGUCUGCUGUCAAAGAGCGGGGCUUAACUCCGUAAAGGCAGUGGAAACUGCAUGGCUAGAGUGUGGUAGGGGCAGAGGGAAUUCCCGGUGUAGCGGUGAAAUGCGCAGAUAUCGGGAAGAACACCAAUGGCGAAAGCACUCUGCUGGGCCGAAACUGACACUGAGAGACGAAAGCUAGGGGAGCGAAUGGG
rnacentral:rRNA from 1 species